UGACGGCCUGCCUGCCACGGUUCACGGUUGAAACGGAGCAACGCUUGCGAACGCGCCAUUCCGCUCCACGCUGCCCUGCUCUGCUCCCCCAGUCCCCCACCACAACUGGCGUCGCCUUCCCCGGGGAAUGCGACCGCGCGCCAGAGCAUGCCCCGCCCGGAGCCCGCGCUAGGGUUCCCCGCCCGCGCGUCCAAGCCGCCGCCCCAGCGCCGCCGCAAGAGGCAGCCGCCGACGAGGCGGAGGCGACCGGCCGGUGCCGCACCGGUGGGGCCACGCGGCGCGGCCGAUCCAGAUCCGGCGCACUCCUCCGCGCUGCUGCCCCUCCCAAGCGGCGGCAGUGGCUUCGCCUCGCGGGGCACGGUUGCGCCAGACGAGGAAGAGGGGAGAGACGGAGCAAGCUCCGCAGAAUCGGAGGAAGUGGCAAAAGCAACAAAUCAUUCGUUCUCCCACUCAGUGAGAGAGUGCCAGAAGCAGCGUCGACUCAAGUCAGAGAGGUCUGCACUGGCGCGCCCGACGGCCUUGCAUGAGCUCAACAGCGCUGGAGGUGUUGAGCUGCUAGUGCUCUCGCCGAGAUGCUUGAUUGGUAACCCGGGAGGAAUGAGCAAGAGCUCGACGACAUCAUCCCGGAGCAGAUCAGGCACAGGCACAGGCACGUUCCCGAGCCCUGGGACCCCGAACUACAACCGGCAUUGUGCAGGCAGCAUGCAGUACUCCAAGGGUUGGAGUUCAGAGCGCGUGCCGCUGGGCACUGGUAGCAAUAGACGGUAUGGGGGCAGUGGGGUUGUGCUUCCGUUUAACAAUGGGAGGAAGCUGCCGUCGAAAUGGGAGGACGCGGAGAAGUGGAUCCUAAGUCCGGUUUCCUGUGAUGGUAUGGGAAGGAUGUCUGCACCGGCUCCGCAUCAUAGACGGCCCAAGUCGAAGAGCGGGCCCCUUGGCCACCCAGCUGGCAUUCCAGGGGCUUAUGCCGCUGUCUCACCGCUUGUUCCUUGCUUUGAUGGUGUUCUGGCAGAAGCUAAUUUUGCAGUGCAUUCACCUUUCUCUGCUGGGGUUCUCAUACCAGAGCACGGGCGCAUUGGUGACUUCAGCAGUGGAAGAGGUAGAUGUGGUGACGAUGGUAGCAGCAGAUCCUACUCUGCAGAGAAGGAGCCAUAUAUAUUAAGAUCUGCAAGCAUACAUGCCUGGACAGAAACGCUUAUGGAGGCAUCUGCUUUUGCUAACAUCUCCGAAGAAACCGUACAAGAUGAUAAACUGCAAGGCCAGACAGAAGCAACUUCCAAUAUUUCGAGUCCAAUCAUAAAGAAAGAUGUCGGCACACAAAUGAGUCCUGAGGAUAAUAUAGCAUCUCCUCCAAAAGCAAGGCAUUCCUGCUCCAGUCUGCCUUCAAGGCAUCUGAUACAAGAAGCAAAUAGUCAUAUACCUAAACCUGAAAUUAGGGACGUGCAGGUUGAUGACCAAGUAACUGUGACCCGGUGGUCCAGGCGACAUGUAACACGAGGCUCUGAUAAGAGGUCAACAAAUAUUGUCGAAUGGAGGAAGAAGACCGUUGAAACCCGAGCUCCAUCUUUUGAUGAAAAAGAAAGAGAAGGAUGCAUGUCAAAGUGCAAAAGGGAGGAGGCAAAGAUCACUGCUUGGGAAAAUCUACAGAAAGCAAAAGCAGAGGCUGCCAUUCGAAAGCUGGAGAUGAAACUUGAAAAGAAAAGAUCAUCGUCAAUGGACAGAAUUCUAGGCAAACUCCGCUCUGCUCAGAAGAAAGCACAUGACAUGCGAAGUGUAGUUUCUUAUAGUGAAGAUCAUUGUGGUGCGAGGACAACCAAGAAGACAUCUUUCCUUGUCAAAACUGGCAAGCCUUUCAGCUGCUGCUUUACCUACCGUGCUUGCUAGUUGUGGCACAGCUGGUGCCACUGGAUUCAGCAAUGGAUAUAGUUCUAUGCGAGCUCUUCUCAGGCAACAGUUAUGGAUGUGAAGUCAGUUGGAUUUUGACUACAUGGCCUAAUUGUCAAUGAGAUAUGCACAAUCUGAUGAACAAGAUAUUAUUAUGGAGCAGCAGACAAAGAAGUGUCUAUCUUUCUCAAGAGCUCUUCUCAGGCAACAGUUAUGGAUGUGAAGUCAGUUGGAUUUUGACUACAUGGCCUAAUUGUCAAUGCGAUUUGCACAAUCUGAUGAACAAGAUAUUAUUAUGGAGCAGCAGACAAAGAAAGUCAUCGAGCUAAAUCCACUCAUGUAGCUAAUGGUGUGGACUACUAUCUGCUGCUGUAUAGCCUGCGACGAUGACUCUGUACACCCGGUAAAAAAGCUCGUUUCACGAGCUUCAUGCUAGUUAGAAUCUGGAUUGAGCUGAUAUUCAUCCUGCUUCAUGUGUAGCUUUCAUGGAAAUUGUGUAUGUAACCCAAAUCAUGGGCGCAUUACAGACCUAACGGAAAAAAGUCAGUGCUGCGCCUUUAGAAUGCAGCUUGCUCUCU